ensembl:snoRNA small nucleolar RNA SNORA65
CCCGCCACUACACCCGUCUGUCCCAGUGGCCGGGUGGAGUCCAGUGGAGGCUCAGAGCAAACCCGGCUUUAGGAAACAGGGCUGCUCACACCGAUGGACAGCUCUGUGCCGAAAAGUCCGGAACACAA